rnacentral:sRNA from 1 species
UAUCGACAGAACAGGUACAGCAUAGGCAUCAGCAGCAACUUCCCCACAUUGUCUAGAAGUCAAUAUGCUUCAAUUGUUAACCUCUUUGCGGGGGAAAUGAAGAGAUG